rnacentral:rRNA from 1 species
UAAUACGUAGGGGGCGAGCGUUGUCCGGAAUCAUUGGGCGUAAAGAGCGUGUAGGCGGACUGGAAGGUCUGGUGUGAAAGCCCGGGGCUCAACCCCGGAGGGUCACUGGAAACCGACAGUCUUGAAUCUGGAAGAGGAGAGUGGAAUUCCUGGUGUAGCGGUGGAAUGCGCAGAUAUCAGGAGGAACACCAAUGGCGAAGGCAGCUCUCUGGUACAUGAUUGACGCUGAGACGCGAAAGCGUGGGGAGCGAACAGG